rnacentral:rRNA from 1 species
GGGUGGUAAUGCCGGAUGCUCCAUCACACCGCAUGGUGUGUUGGGAAAGCCUUUGCGGCAUGGGAUGGGGUCGCGUCCUAUCAGCUUGAUGGCGGGGUAACGGCCCACCAUGGCUUCGACGGGUAGCCGGCCUGAGAGGGCGACCGGCCACAUUGGGACUGAGAUACGGCCCAGACUCCUACGGGAGGCAGCAGUGGGGAAUAUUGCACAAUGGGCGCAAGCCUGAUGCAGCGACGCCGCGUGAGGGAUGGAGGCCUUCGGGUUGUAAACCUCUUUUGUUAGGGAGCAAGGCACUUCGUGUUGAGUGUACCUUUCGAAUAAGCACCGGCUAACUACGUGCCAGCAGCCGCGGUAAUACGUAGGGUGCAAGCGUUAUCCGGAAUUAUUGGGCGUAAAGGGCUCGUAGGCGGUUCGUCGCGUCCGGUGUGAAAGUCCAUCGCUUAACGGUGGAUCCGCGCCGGGUACGGGCGGGCUUGAGUGCGGUAGGGGAGACUGGAAUUCCCGGUGUAACGGUGGAAUGUGUAGAUAUCGGAAAAGAAACACCA